AAGGCCAUUUAGCCCAAAGAAAAGUCUGUAAAACCUAAUAAACACUCUGACCUCCUCUGUGUCCCGCCGCCACUUCCCCUUCCCCACUUUUUUAUUUCAUUCUUUAACCACGGUUAAACUAAGAAGACUGAGAAUGACAAAGAAGAGCGAGAGAACCCAAUCGCUUCUCUAUUCUUAGACAUAAGAGGUAGAUUGGUGGACUUAGAGCAAUGACAAGUUCAGAGAGGAGGAGUGAAAGAAGAAGAUGGUGUCUCAAGCAAGAUGGCGUUGUACAAGAAUUGUGUAUCAUGAAUGCUUUGAAAUUUACAAUUUUGUGUAACUUAAAACCUAUUGUCGAAUGUAAAUUUCUUUUAUUCUUAGCUACGUUAUUAAAAGCCUUAUGUGUAACUUUGAAUUUGUUUUGGAAUCUCAAAUAUUUAGAAUUUUAGC